GUGCCAGCAGCCGCGGUAAUACAGAGGUGGCAAGCGUUGUUCGGAAUUAUUGGGCGUAAAGAGCACGUAGGUGGAUUUGUUAGUCAGAUGUGAAAGCCUUCUGUUCAACGGGAGAAUAGCAUCUGAAACUACAAACCUUGAGUAUAGGAGGGGAGAGUGGAACUUCUGGUGGAGCGGUGAAAUGCGUAGAUAUCAGAAGGAACGCCGGCGGCGAAAGCGACUCUCUGGCCUAUAACUGACACUGAGUGUGCGAAAGCUAGGGGAGCAAACGGGAUUAGAUACCCCGGUAGUCCUAGCCGUAAACGAUGGGCACUAAGUAGGGGAAACUACCGAUGUUUUCUCUGCCGUAGCAAAUGCAUUAAGUGCCCCGCCUGGGGAGUACGGCCGCAAGGCUAAAACUCAAAUGAAUUGGCGG
rnacentral:rRNA from 1 species